rnacentral:rRNA from 1 species
AUUGAACGCUGGCGGCAUGCCUUACACAUGCAAGUCGAACGGCAGCGGACCUUCGGGUGCCGGCGAGUGGCGAACGGGUGAGUAAUGCAUCGGAACGUACCUUUCAGUGGGGGAUAACGUAGCGAAAGUUACGCUAAUACCGCAUAUUCUGUGAGCAGGAAAGCAGGGGAUCGCAAGACAUUUGCCUGAUUGAGCGGGCGAUGUCAGAUUAGCUAGUUGGUGAGGUAAAGGCUCACCAAGGCGACGAUCUGUAGCGGGUCUGAGAGGAUGAUCCGCCACACUGGGACUGAGACACGGCCCAGACUCCUACGGGAGGCAGCAGUGGGGAAUUUUGGACAAUGGGGGCAACCCUGAUCCAGCCAUGCCGCGUGAGUGAAGAAGGCCUUCGGGUUGUAAAGCUCUUUCGGCCGGGAAGAAAUCGCACAGGCUAAUACCUUGUGUGGAUGACGGUACCGGAAUAAGAAGCACCGGCUAACUACGUGCCAGCCGCCGCGGUAAGAC